CUGUCUCCCUGUCCCAGCCUGUUUUCCUGUUCCCCUUUCCCUUGUGUGUGUGUGUGUGUUGUCUGUGUCUGUCUACAUGUCACUCAAGAGGAUCUAGGUCAAGGGGUGUGGCCAUUCUCACCUGCUCUGCUCCAGCCAGCUGCAGAUCAUUCCAGUAAUCAACCAACACCCAGCUGCAGCUCAUUCCAGUACUCAACCAACAGUUAUCUACCCGGGCUGUUCACCUCUUCAGCGCCAGUUCGUUGCAACCAUUCCUGUGUUCCCACCUCUGGACCUGCUGCUUCUCGGUUCUCAUCUGCCUCCUCGCUGCCUGCUCACCUCGCAACUCCGUUCUCAACCAGCCUUCCACCCAGCUCUCGUCUUCGCUGCCUGGCCACACACCCGCCGUCGGAUCUCCAGCUUCGACUCCACCUGGAGCUGCUCUCCUGGCCAUUCCCUCCUGCACUAUCCACAUUGUGUCCAAUAAAACACUGCUAACUGCU